rnacentral:rRNA from 1 species
AUUGAACGCUGGCGGCAGGCCUAACACAUGCAAGUCGAGCGGGGUUUUCGGACCUAGCGGCGGACGGGUGAGUAAUGCGUAGGAAGCUACCCGAUAGAGGGGGAUACCAGUUGGAAACGACUGUUAAUACCGCAUAAUGUCUACGGACCAAAGUGUGGGACCUUCGGGCCACAUGCUAUCGGAUGCGCCUACGUGGGAUUAGCUAGUUGGUGAGGUAAUGGCUCACCAAGGCGACGAUCCCUAGCUGGUUUGAGAGGAUGAUCAGCCACGCUGGAACUGAGACACGGUCCAGACUCCUACGGGAGGCAGCAGUGGGGGAUAUUGGACAAUGGGCGCAAGCCUGAUCCAGCCAUGCCGCGUGUGUGAAGAAGGCCUUCGGGUUGUAAAGCACUUUCAGUAGGGAGGAAGCGUUGUGUGUUAAUAGUACACAGCGUUGACGUUACCCACAGAAGAAGCACCGGCUAACUCUGCGCCAGCCGCCGCGGUAAGAC